CAGUCCUCCAAUUUUCUCAUUUUUUGCAGGAAAGUCCCUAAGUCCAAAAACAGGUGUCCUUUUCCCAUUAGGUCUCAAAUACACAUGGCAGGCUAUAAAUAGUAAAGGUGUCAGAUCAAUCAGAAGAAUCAGUGCCAACUCACAAACAGAAUUUCGAGGGAAGAACACCAAGAACAAAUCAUCACCAAAUCAACAGAUCCGAACCAGAUCUGCUCAAAACCAACUCCGAUCAUCACCAAAUCAACGAAUCCGAACCGGAUUCACUCAAAACCACCUCGAAUCAUCACAUCAACACCAAAAUCGUACCGGAUUUUCGAGCAAAAACAACACCAACGGAAGCUAUAGCGCGCGCGAAGGAGAAGAGGAGAGAUUCGAAGUUUUCCGAAUAUCUUUUUUCUCCGUUCUACGACAGAGGUAACGCGUUUCUCCUCCCUUUCUAAGUCAUUUCCGCGCGUUUCUUGCUUGAAAUUGCAUGUGAAAAAGUUUGUUACGGGUAAAGAUUUGUAGAUCUAGGCUUUUGUGUUCGGAUUUUGGAAAUUUUGAGGCCGGAUUCGGACUCUAGAGAGAAAAGGAUAUCUAGAUCCGUAGUUAUUUUUCAAAAAAAGUGUGAAAUUUUUUUCGAAGUUCAAGUGUAGAUCUAGCCCAAAUCUCUCAGCCCUUUCUAAAACUAGUGCCGGAUUUGUGUAGAGGAGGAGGAGACGAAGCUUUUGGUAUAAAAAUUUUGAAAAAAAAAAAAGAAAAAAAGCUCCGACGCGGCGGCGCU
rnacentral:lncRNA from 1 species